CAGGGUUUAAAAGACCACGGUGACCUUAAGCAGCAGUGUAUCAGAUCACAGUAUUUGACUUCAUCCUUCAGUACAGCGUGAGUCGUGAAGUGAAUAAACCAGACGAGAUGUCCCAGCAGAAAUUUGAAGAACUCAGUGAGGAACUGCAGCAAAGCAUUGAGAAACUCAACUCAGAGUACAACAGAAAUCACAAAACCCUCGCAGAUCAAAUAAAGAAACUGAACAACAUCACAGAAGAACUUGAAUCCAUGCACAAGAACACUACGAGGGGGAGUUUGGUAGGAGCAUCAAUGGGAGCAGCAGGAGGAAUUGCACUGCUGGGUAUAGUUUUGGCCCCAUUUACAUUUGGUGCAUCUAUAGCUGUUACUGGUGCCGUUGGUGUUACUGCUAUGGGUGUUGGAGUAACUG